GUAAGAUGGUGGGUGGUGGGAGUGGCUGUAUUUUGGGAGGCUCCCAUGCACGUUGUGUGACCGUGGGGUGGGGCACACAGUGGCCCCUCAGGGGCAUGUGGUUUGGUGGACUCCAAGUUCACAGCAGUGAGACCCACUGAGUCAGUGGCGGCAGUGAGGUUCCAGGAGCCUGGCUUUUCAAUGCCAGAAGACAUAUUGCUGAGGGUCACCUGAAGCUGGAAUUGGACCAACCCAGGAAGGAUAAAUGAGACACUUGCAGAACCAGAAGGACCUUAGUGAUCCCCAGUCCCCUCCUUUGAGUUUAUACAGAGAGAGACAGGGAGACCCAGGGAAGGGACAGGAUUUACCCACAAAACUAAGCACUAGAAAAGGUUGGAAUUUGACUUGAACUCUUGAACCUAUUAUGUCCUCAUCUCCAGUCCUGGGCCUGUUAUUGCGAAUACAUUAUGUAAAUGGAGAAACUUAAUGUUUUAAGGAAAUUAUGGCUCAAAUAACAUACACUAUUAACUAUUUUAAGGCCUAAAAAACAAAAGAAAAACAGGUUGGGCAACCUCAUCACUUCUUUGUUCUUGGUUUUCACGUCUCAACAGGGUUCUUCCUAGUUGGGGUGGUCUGGAGUCAGAAAGGCCCCCAGGGUCUCCCCAGAUUUUAGAAUUCUAAGGCCUAACCCACAAGUCUGUGGUUUGGAGUGAAUUUGUAUGGGUUGGGGGUCUCCUUCAAGUCACUUAAUGCUUUCAGAAAAUGUGAAAAAAAUUAGUGGGGCAUGGUGGGGUACACCUGUGGUCCCAGCUACUCUGGAGGUUGAGGCGGGAGGAUUGCUUGAAUCCAGGAGGUUGAGGCUGCGGUGAGCUAUGAUAGCGCCACUGCACUGCAGCCUGGGCAACAGAGCGAGACCCUGUCAAAACAAACAAACACACACAAACCAACCAAACAAAAAAAGCAAGAAAAUGUGACCACAUGUGAGAGAGGAGAAGGAGGAAUGAGGAUGUUAACAUGCUGGUGAGGUCUUUCGGAGGCCUUUUGGUCAUCAGGGUUUACACUGGGGAAAUUACGUGCAUAGAAUGGGAAGUAAGAGAACGAAGAGGGUCUUUCGAAGGUCAGCCCCACGAGGUCCACGCUCGCUCCUUGAUCAUGAUUUUGGUUUUGUUUUGAAAGCCAGUCUUCCCAUUUCACUGCCUUAUGUAACUGCAUGGGCUUGUUUUGAAGCUGGAUUUAAUUUUAGGUGAAGUUAUACAUAUUUAGACUUAUUAGGCCUCAUGAGGAGUGAAACUCAGUCUGGCUGGUGCUUGCCCUGGGAAUUAAUGUGGUGUUUUCAUCCGAGUUCUGGAAAUCAACUGCUGCAGGAAUAUGUCUUGGAUCCCAUACUGGUGUGAUCCCACCCACCCGGGACGCUGUGCAGAGCUGGCCCCGAGCCUGCACCUGUCUUUCGUUUUCCUACACUCGAUGUGUCCUCAAGAGUGUAUUUGGACUCAAGUCUGACUCCAGAGGCGGUCCUUCCAGAGCUACUGUUUCUCCUUUUUCAAAGAAAAGGUGGCUCUUUCAGGAAAGCCCCUUCCCCCCACCAACUACUUCUCAAACCUACUCCUUUUGCUGGGCCCAAACUAACUUUUUCUUUCCUUCCUUCCUUCCUUCCUUCCUUCCUUCCUUCCUUCCUUCCUUCCUUCCUUCCUUCCUUCCUUCUCUUUCUUUCUUGCUUUCUUGCUUUCCUUCUUUCUUUCUUUCUGUCUUGUCAAUGCAGGGAGCUAUGAUCACACUGCUGCCCUCCACCUCUGUUGCCCCAGCUGGAGUGCAGUGGUGCAAUCUCAGCUCUCUGUAGCUUUGACCUCCCUGGCUCAAGCGAUCCUCCCACAUCAGCCUCCCAAGUAACUGGGACUACAGGCAUGCACCACCACAUCUGGCUGAUCCCUUGUGCCUCAGUUUUCACCUCACCUUUCAGGCCUUUCUAGGAAAAAAUCCUGCAAUGAAGCUUGUGGAGAUCCUUGAAGAUGAGACCAGUGGAGCCUGGUCUAACCCCAAGGCGAGUGGGGAGGCCCGGGCAGGGAGUGCGUGGGGGCUGCACUUGCUGUUUUCCACGCAGCACCAAGGAUGGCUUCCCUCCCAGGAUCCUGCCCUGGCUAAUGACAUUGAACCUGCAUCAUGCAUCUGCACCGCCUCCCGGAGUCCGAGGACCGUGCUGCACAGCCUCCUUCUGGGACUGAAGUUGGAGGAGUGAGAAGGGAGGGUUCCCUCCUCCUUCUGAAGUCUGAGGACAGGCUCCUUCUGACUGAGGAAAGGAAACAUCAUUAUUGCUUAUGAGAGGAUGGGAAGGGAACCACCCCCCACAGAAGGCAAACCAGUCUUGGCGUCUCCAGGAAGCUCGGCAUCUGGAGAGUGGUUGGCUACGCUGGUGUCUCCUCUCUCUCUCACUUUUCCUCGACUGUACUUACAGAAAAGUGUGCAUGCCGUGAGUGUUCAGCCAGUUGAAGUUUUAUAAGCGGAGCCCACUCUGAAGCCAUGCCCCGCCGGCAUCCCAGACCCUAUCCGCGCCCCUGCCCCGGGCGGCCGCCAUCCGGUUCCCAGAAGCAAGGCUGGCUCUGCCUGUCCUUGGACUUCAUACACUGGCAGCAAACAGCGUGUGCCCUUUUGUUUCUGGCUCUUUUGCUCAGUGGUGUUUGUCCCACCUCUUUGGAGGGAUCUAAAACCCAAGCAGGGUUACCAGUGUGUGGGUCCCACAGGCAGCUUCCCAGUAGGAUGUCAGGAAAAGAAAGGUGAUGAGCUCAGAGGCAACUUAAGCCCAAAGCCAGAGAGACCAAUGUUGUCUCCAGAGCUGGUCCCCACAAUGUGGUGCAGAGCUCUGACCACUUGUCCCCAGCAUGCAGGCUGCGCAAGGCUGGGGGAAGUCCUCCUGUCCUGGUGGCCCCAGAAGCCAAUGGAAGAGGCGUGACUUCUCAGGGCCCCCAGCACUCUGUCACAUUCACACACGCUUUCCUGGUGCUAGGAACUGAGUGUUUGUGUCUCCCCCAGAUUCCCACGUUGAAAUCCUCACCCGCGUGAAGAUGGUGUUAGGAGGUCAGACCUUUGGAAGGUGAUGAGGUCAUGAGGGUGGAGCCCCAACGAAUGGGAUUAGUGCCCUCAUGAAAGAGACACAAGAGAGAUGAUCUCUUUCCUCCGAUUGAGGACACAGCAGGAAGCCUGCCCGUCUGCAACCAAGAAGCCAGCCUGCAGCAGAAUCUGACGGUGCAGGCGCCCGGAUCUCAGAACUGCCAGCCUGCAGAACUCAGAGGAGAGACAUGUCUGUUGUUUGUAGGUCACCCAGUCAGCGGUUCUUUUUAUAGCAGCCUGAACUGACUAAGACACUUGGGAAGGAUGCUUGCAGAUGUUAGGACUACGCCCACAUGCUAAGAGCACCUGGGAAGGUGAUGGGAUUCCUGUGGGCUCCUUAUCAGGUGGACUCAGGAAGGUGGUGGACUUCCUGUGGGCCCCUCUUCAGAUGUGCCUGGGAGGGGCGGCUGUGGUGUUGAAAGCUCAUUUGGCCAGGGUUGAAUUAGCAGAGUGCAUUGAGAAAUGGAACUCAAGCCCAGUGUGAUCUUCUGGGAAAAGCUGACACCAGAAAACAAAAGAGAGCAAGAGAGAAGACAGUGGGUGAAGUCCUGGUUCCAGACUCCCCUUUUUGCCGGGAUAUGAUGGAUCUGUCAGCUGGUGCCUAGAGUCCUAGAGAGCUAGAGAUGGAGGGAAAUUCAGAUCAUCUAAACCCUUCAGCCCUUCACUGGACAGAAGAGGAAACUGAGGCUCCAUCUGCAUGACGUUCCCAGAGUCACGGCACAAAUUCAUGGAAGAAGCAGCAGGAAACUCAGUUCUCCAGUCUGGGUCCAAUGUGUGUUUUAGAAAUAUCUCCACAGGGUUAAUGACUCAAUUUUUCAUGCAUGAUUGCUAGUAAUGACAAUCAUGUUAUGUUUGUUUCUGUAGCUUUGGAAAUCACUCCUUCCACUUGAGUUUCAGGUCCCAACUGUCCACACCUGCAGGAGUGAGGUUUUGCUGAGACUGAUAAGGCACUCACAUUUUGUGGGAGUUGAAUUGUCUCUGUAGCCUAGAAUCUAGAUUUUUUUCCCUCCUCUGCUCUCAGUGAACGGAGAAUUCCAUCUCGGUACAAUCUGUGAACCAUUCUGCAGUAAGAUUGUCAUCGUCUCAUUCAUACUACCUGGUCGGUAACACAAAGGGCUGUAAUUGAUGUGGUUCAGAGACUCACAUCCAAGCAAUAAAAAUGAAUCCCUUAUGGUGGUCUGCAGCAACGCAAAUGGAUCCAGUGUCUGGCUUUAAUGGGAGUGGGGAAAUUGCUAACAGAUGACGGUAACUUUC
rnacentral:lncRNA from 1 species